CCUAAACAGAGAAGAGACGUUUGUCUUACAGCUGCAGAUUCAUUUGUCUAGGAGAUGAGUGUCAUGGCAGCCCUGUGUGUGAAUGUGGUGACAGUCAACAUGUUACUGAGUGUCUUCUUUCUUUCAGCAAUGAAUUACAGCACGACAGCACUGCAUCUCCAUCAAUGGGAAAGUCUCGACUAGAGCUGUCAAUCUGGUAGGAAUCUGGUUGUUAUACAAAAGUGUUAAGGUCAACUGUUGUUUUAUGAAUUGCAACACAUGAUACAACCUGUCAACCUUGA